rnacentral:tRNA from 1 species
GCGGGCGUGGCGGAAUUGGCAGACGCGAUGGGUUUAGGUCCCAUUGGGUAACCGUGCGGGUUCGAGUCCCACCGCCCGUA